rnacentral:rRNA from 1 species
AUUGAACGCUAGCGGCAUGCCUUACACAUGCAAGUCGAACGGCAGCGGGGGAGAAGCUUGCUUUUCCUGCCGGCGAGAGGCGAACGGGUGAGUAAUACAUCGGAACGUGCCCUGUAGUGGGGGACAACUAGUCGAAACAUUCGCUAAUACCGCAUACGACCUGCGGGUGAAAGAGUGGGACCGCAAGGCCUCAUGCUAUAGGAUCGGCCGAUGUCUGAUUAGCUAGUUGGUGGGGUAAAGGCCGACCAAGGCGACGAUCAGUAGCUGGUCUGAGAGGACGAUCAGCCACACUGGGACUGAGACACGGCCCAGACUCCUACGGGAGGCAGCAGUGGGGAAUUUUGGACAAUGGGCGAAAGCCUGAUCCAGCAAUGCCGCGUGUGUGAAGAAGGCCUUCGGGUUGUAAAGCACUUUUGUCCGGAAAGAAAUGGCUCUGGUUAAUACCUGGGGUCGAUGACGGUACCGGAAGAAUAAGGACCGGCUAACUACGUGCCAGCAGCCGCCGUAA